GGUGCCAUUCUCCGUGGAUCCACCGGGGGAAUCCCGGGGGAUGCGUCCACCGUUUUAGAAGUUGAAUUUUCUAACGUAAAAGUCACGCGAAGUUAAUUAAUAUUGCUUAGAGCUAUUCUAUUUGUAACUUGGAUACCGAAAAUGACGAUAAAAGUGGGUAUAAAGAGCGAAAAUUGAAGAGAGAUCAUUCUAGGAGGAUCCACCUCGCGGUGGACCCAGCCACAACUUUCCACCACGAAAAAAUCCAGAUAUUUACAUUAAAUUUGCCUCCAGACAACUCUUCAUGUCAUGAUUAAUUGAUAAAAUUAACCCUCUCACUGCCGAAUGCGUUCGGCGGCCGAAUAAACUUCAUCAUUAUCAGCCGGCUAAACUUUCGCGCCAAGUUUCUGCCGGGCAUGCGUGGCAACACCGCUCAUCACCUGUUCGCGACGGAGCAUAACAAAUGGCGAGCUCGCCGGUCGGGUGUUUAUGUUUGUCGUGAAUUCUGUUGAUUUUCUGCUAAUUUAUCUUGGAAAAGCGUAUCGGCCUUCGUCCUUAAACCUUUAUUAGGUGCCAAAGUAUCGUUCGGACUACACGCAGCUGUUCAACAUCCACGCAAGAACAGCUGGGCAGCUUCAUUAGAACAUUAAAAGCGUACUGUUCACCCAAGAGCUUGAUGAUGGGAUAUGGGUUGGAGAGGAACAUAUGAAAUCGCUGCAGUUCUUUGGAUCACAGAGAGGUCUUUCGUGCAAGCGGAGGUACUUCAACCUGCGGGACUACUUCUACUGAAAGAUCUUCUCGACGCUCAACAUCGGGUUCAACCGCGUGAGCAAGAAAGACCCAGUGACCCAUGGCCUUGACAUCUCUGUGCACUGGCUGGGCCUGGAUGUGUGUCUUCUGGUCGCAGCCUUCGUACUGGUUGGAUGCAUUGUGGCCACCUUGAUCCUCGGGCUGCUGCUGACGCUGACCGUUCUUCUACGCCAUCUCGAGCAGCAAGGUGUUCUCGAUGGAUCUGCAGAGCCUGCCCGACCAGCUGUGUCAGGCCUUGAUCACCUACAUCCCAAACGGCGCCGAGAUCAUCGCCCUCGACGCGUUCGAUGCGCAGGCUGACGACCUGGUGGAUGGCAUCACGAGCGUCAAGCCAGCGUUGGCCGGCAAAGUUCCGCCUAGCCUAGCCUCUUUUCUGCUCCAAUUGGGCGUGGCGGGCGGAUCUCUGCUCAAAAGCGUUGCCCAGAACUGCUUCUCGCUCGAGCUGUUGUUCGCACCGUACCACCUGUUCCAAACACCGCUACCAGCCAGCUGCGAGAUUGUGUGGCUGCUGUGUGGUGGUGACGAGCAGAGGACAAGCUCUACCUCUGCUAUCAGGAGGAAACGCUGCAGCCGCUAUUUCCAGAGCUGCACGAGCUUUCUUGCGGUGACAUCCUCUGGAUUGACGUCGUCUACUCGCUUGAGCGGCACAGACUCAUCACUGAGCUCCUCGCCCUCUCCCUUGAAGUGGUCCACAUCAUGCAGCAUAGUGUGGACCAAACUGUGCAGUUACUUUAGCAAUAGUUUGACUGAAUAUUGAUAAAAUAAAAUAAAAAUUUGAAAAUAGUGUUUAUAUUUCUUUUCAUGCACGAAAUAAAUUAUUUCGCAAAUAUAUAGCAAUUUUCUAAAAAUUAAUAUGGCUGCUCCUUUUUUAACCAUAUGAUCCUCUGCAUGUUCCUCUGUUGACCGGAUUCAAAGAAUACAAGAAAUUGAAACAGGAAUUCCUGCUUUUCCCUGGCAUUCCGGCAGGACAAGAAAUUAUUUUCAGGAACAGGACAUAACGGGAAUUUUGUUUCAGAACAAUUUCAAUCUUGGUCUAUAUAAAUCACGUUUAUAUCAAAAAAUAAAUUUGAAGAUAUGAUAAUAUAGACUUAAAAUACUGUUUUACGAUGUCCAAAAACAUUUCACAAAAAUCAUAAUUAUAAAUAUAUAAUCUGAUAUCCCUGUGAU